rnacentral:rRNA from 1 species
GCCAGACUCCUACGGGAGGCAGCAGUGGGGGAUAUUGCACAAUGGGGGGAACCCUGAUGCGGCGACGCCGCGUGGGUGAAGGAGCGUUUCGGCGCGUAAAGCCCUAUCGGCAGGGAAGAAGGAGGACGGUACCUGACUAAGAAGCCCCGGCUAACUACGUGCCAGCAGCCGCGGUAAUACGUAGGGGGCAAGCGUUAUCCGGAUUUACUGGGUGUAAAGGGGGCGCAGACGGCGAUGCAAGCCAGGAGUGAAAGCCCGGGGCCCAACCCCGGGACUGCUCUUGGAACUGCGUGGCUGGAGUGCAGGAGGGGCAGGCGGAAUUCCUGGUGUAGCGGUGAAAUGCGUAGAUAUCAGGAGGAACACCGGUGGCGAAGGCGGCCUGCUGGACUGCAACUGACGUUGAGGCCCGAAAGCGUGGGGAGCAAACAGGAUUAGAUACCCCUGUA